rnacentral:lncRNA from 1 species
UACAUUAUAUAAAAUUAUUACACUUUCGCAUAGGGAAUUACCAUGCAAAGAUGGAUGAGUAAAUGAACAUUUAUACAUUGACAUUUUUAAAAAGUAAUUUCUUAGAGAAUUAAAUCUUAAAAUAAAAACAACUUACAGAGUUCAAACAUUCAGAAUACAGUGACAAAGAUAUCCAUGGUCUCUUAAUUGUGUGCAGUUAUCUAGCACAUGUUUCACUCCCUUCUCUGUGACACCACAACAAUAAUCAAGUAAUAGUUUCAAAAGCCCAGAACAAUUCUUUGAGAUCACAUAGAGUGUUUCAUCAUCAACCUUUGUAU